AGCUCGGGCGCGCCCCCUCCGCUCUCCCCCAACCGCCGCCUCCCGCGGGGCUCCGCCGAGGUCCGGAAAAGCGGCGGCCGCGUUCACGCUGCCGCACUCCGAUCCCGACCUGGACCCCAACCCCGACCCGGACCCCGAUCCCGACCCUGACCCCGACCCGGACCCGGGGCCAGACCCCGACCCGGACCCAGACCCCGACCCGGACCCCGACCCAGAGCCGGACCCCAUUCCAGACCCGGAGGCUGACCCCCGCCCAUUCCCCGACCCCGACCCGGAACCGUGAGCCCGACCCGCACCAGGACUGCCACCCCCGCAGAUCCAGCCUGUCUUGGAAGAGACAGACAGAAGGAAGCCAGGAGGAAGGUCAGCCCAGUGCCUGUGUUGACUGUUUACCUUUGGGGGCAGGUGUGUGCUGACAAGAGGAAGCUUUGGUCCUGGAGAAGGUCUGCCUCCUGUUUCUUCUACAAGUUGCUGUAACUUCUGAGGAGCUUUGAUGGCCAGCUUUGGCUAAUGGAGGCAUUUUGCUCUUGCAGUAGGUUAAACCGCCUAUGGAUAACGUAUAGGAUGGGGUGUCCAUGUUUGUUUUGAAGUCUCAGGACUCUUAAGACAGUGGUUUCCAGAGAACUUUCCCACCCAGAAUCGCUUGCUUAAAUUUUUGUUUGAAGUACCAUC